CCCACAACCACUUCUGCUUUUUCUCUCCCCAACUCCAGUGUUGUUUCUUUCCGAAUACUUCCACGCUUUCUCUGCCAAAACAUCUUAAACCCUAGAAACGCUUCCUAGUUUCCGUUUCAGUUUCCAGAUCUGAACCGUUUUCCAGGAAGUUCCGUUCAAGCUCGAAUUUUCCGUCGAACGAACCUGCAUUUUGCGGUAGAUCCGAAUCUGAGUAUGAUCUUUCUGGUUGAGGAAUUCGUGUUGAAGUUGUGAAAAACUUCGGAUUGUUUCUCCCAGUUGCUCAGAACAAGUUAAAGUCUCUUUCAAUGGCAAGUCAACCACGGUUGCAGGUAUUAGCUGCUAGAAAAAAUAAAAUUUCAACACUAAAGGGUUUCCCUUAUUUACCAGUCCUUGAGGUCAGCA